rnacentral:rRNA from 1 species
CCUACGGGAGGCAGCAGUGAGGAAUAUUGGUCAAUGGCCGGAAGGCUGAACCAGCCAAGCCGCGUGAGGGAGGAAGGCGCAGAGCGUCGCAGACCUCUUUUGCCGGGGGACAAAAGGCCGGACGGGUCCGGUUCUGAGCGUACCCGUAGAAAAAGCAUCGGCUAACUCCGUGCCAGCAGCCGCGGUAAUACGGAGGUUGCGAGCGUUAUCCGGAUUCAUGGGGGUUAAGGGGUGCGCAGGCGGGCCUUUAAGCCGGCGGUCAAAUCGCGGGGCACAACCCCGCCGAGCCGUCGAAACUGGGGGGCUAGAGUGCGGCGGAGGCAUGCGGAAUGCGCGGUGUAGCGGUGAAAUGCAUAGAUAUCGCGCAGAACCCCGAUUGCGAAGGCAGCGUGCCGUGCCGCCACUGACGCUGAGGCACGAAAGCGCGGGGAUCGAACAGGAUUAGAUACCCGAGUAGUC